rnacentral:misc_RNA from 1 species
GUGAAUCAUCGAAUCUUUGAACGCACCUUGCGCUCCUUGGUAUUCCGAGGAGCAUGCCUGUUUGAGUGUCAGUAAUCUCUCAACUCCUCUGGCUUUUGUUAGCUAGCUGGAGCUUGGAUCUGGAGGUAUUGCGGGCCUUUAUAGGUCGGCUCCUCUGAAAUGCAUUAGCGGAACCGUUUGCGAUCCGUCACAGGUGUGAUAAUUAUCUACGCCAGUGGGUUGCUCUCUGUCUUGUUCAGCUACCAACUGUCCGAAAGGACAAUCAUUUACUGAAUAUUUGACCUCAAAUCAGGUAGGACUACCCGCUGAACUUAAGCAUAUCAAUAAGCGGAGGA